ensembl:lncRNA
AAAUUCCAACAUAGGCUUCCUAUGUUGCAACUGCUUGCCUGAAGACCCCGUUCUAUAAUCUGCCCUCAAAGGCCAGCUGGAAGGAGGCCUGGCCAUCUGCAGAAACUGCUCAUGAUGUUAUGUGACACUGAAAAGAAAAGUGAACAGCCUGGCAAAAUAUCAGCCUGCUAUCAUCCUAAUCCCCAUUUGUUUUUCCUUUCGUCCCUUGUGGAGCUGCAUAUGAGCCUCCAAAAACUUAGGGAUAAACCUGCAAGUUUGGCUCCUCCAGCCUGGCCAUCCCUAGCUGCAGGUGGCCAGCUGGGAACCCUCAGCCACCUGGCCUCAUUGCUUGAUUUGCUCCAAGGACAAGCCCAUCUGCUGGCCUCAGUGGCCAGCCUUCUCCUGCCGUGACCAUCUCCAGCACACAGAAAACGUGCACCUGGGCACGCAGGGCAGUUGUAAAUCCUCACAGAGUGUGCCACCAUGCAGCUCUGCCAUACGGCAGGACGUGUGUAACUGACAUUUGUGGGUAUGUGCAGAGCAGCAAUUAAGCUUCUUGGACCUCAAAAUACUGUGCAUGUAUGGGGCUGACACGCCGGGCGGUCCGAGCUGCUUAAUUGCUCAUCUUUGACAAUAAUAGCUAUCCACGGUCAUUAUUAACAGUCUUGGCCUCUCCCACAGAUACGCUCUGCAUGGGAAAACACCUGCAAUGCUCCUAGUGCUCAUUCCAUUUCAGUUUUAUCCCAGUGGUCAUCAUUUUACACAGCACAAAACAGGAGACUAACAUAUCCCAAACCUACGUGCACUGUGACUGAAUGGCAUAGCCAAAAUCUUAAACAGUGCAUUUGUACCGGGGUAAAUACGGAGUGAUUUUCAGGGGACUGAGGUUUCAUCCCUCAUAAAGGUCUUACAGUGUUAAAUGGCAGGAUUCAGAUUAGCUCAUAAGAUCAGUUUUCAAAGAAGCCAUUCUGUUCACAGUGUACUUAAAAUGAACCGUGAGCUUAUGACGUUGCUGUUAAGCAAGGAGCUGAACCAGUCAAUUCUUCUGAGAGUGCCCAUGAAAUAGGAAGAAAAAAAAUCACAUCCAGAAGAAGCAGCAACCAGUGUUUUCAGAUCCAUUCCUGUGCUCUUUAUUUCCUCCUCCUUUACUAUCCCAGACUCAUUCUUCUAAAUUUAUGCAUCCUGUAUUUCUCGUGAACCUUCUGAAGGGAUCCUUCUGUCCCUCAAAAAGUUUAUCUUCAUGCCCAAAGAGCAACACACCGCCUUCAAAAGAGCAUGAAUGCCUCUUUAUCCCUAAGCAUAAUAGUAAUUAUUUUGCUAUUUUAAUAUGGAGACAAAUAAAACCAUCAGGUUUGGACUUUAACUCUCACCACAGCCUGACUUUUAGAGAGGGCUAACUCUAGACAUGGGUAUCAGCAUCCAAAUAAUCUUACAUUUGGGUCUGAAGCUUGCUAUUUCCAUUUCAGGUGUGUUUGUAUUUGGAGCUUUGAUGUGCUCCAGAAACUGGAAGCGAACUGCUGGCUGAAAAAUGCCCUAAAGCAAGACAGAAGACUAAACAAUCUUUUGAAUGAGCUUAGGAGUGGAUCCUGUGUUUGUUUUCAGGAGCUGCUUAGCUGCCUGUAGCCACGUCUUCCAGUGUAUAAUCAUCAAUUAUGAUUAUAAUGAUUUUCCCAUAUAAUCUGACGAAAGGAUAUUCUACCCAACAGCCAAAUGUUUCAGCAAGUUAAGAGUUUAGACUGGCACCUGAGACACAGAUUUGUAUUUCCAAGUCAUUUAUGUUUCCUGCUAGGUCCUACUAAAUCAAAAUAGAGCUGAGAGUAGAGCAGUGGUAUACAGAGGAGAGACUCAGCAAUAGGAUGAAAAACACAGAAGAGAUUUACAAGAAAAAGGAAGGAACAGUAGGGCAUCAAUCACUUGUCUUUCCCAGGGGCUUCUCUGCAUCUCUGUAUCUUACUGAUACUAUCAUCUCUUUCCAUAUUCUUAAGGCUCAGCUGUGGAGUAAAGCAGGUUGAGCGCUCAUGUCAAUCCAGUGAACUAAACUAAACACUUCUAGCAAGAUUGGCCCGGGGCCACUGAUUUCAAUGGGAGCUGCUGGAUGCUCAGCAUGACUGACAGUUAGGCUCUUUGUGGAUCAAAAAUCAGAAUAAUUUUGUUCCAUCUGGCAUUUUUCAUGAUCCCCACUGUGCCCAAUUUUGCAGUCACAACACCUCACUUCUUAAAAAUCACCCCUCAGCCAAAGGCAUAAAAAUGAACAAGCACUUGUACAAGUAAAACAGUAGCAACAACACAUUCUUGCAUAGUCCAAUUCUUUGGCAAUCAGAUUAAGACUCUCUAAACUCUUUCCUUCCUUCCUUCCUUCCUUCUUUCUUUCUUUCUUUCGUUCUUUCUUCCUUUCUUUCUUUCUUCUUUCUUUCUUUCUUCUUUCUUUCUCUUUCUUUCUUUCUUCUUUCUUUCCUUCUUUCUUUCUCUCUCUCUCUUUCUCUCUUUUUUCCCAGGGAGUAAAUACUUGAACAAGGCUUGUUAAGGCACAUCAUUGUUAGGCUCCCAAAUCACUAGAAACUCCAGAAAACGUAAAUGGGUGUCAAGCUGCUAAUCUCUUUUCUAGGUCUUUUUUAUGCCUCUAGGUAUGAGAUCUACUGGGCGGCCAACAAACUCAAUAGAAGGCAGAAAAAGAUAGGAGACAGCAGAGGUGGUAGAGAUGACAAAAAAACACAGCUACAUAGAUGAAAAAAACCUGAAGAGUGAUAAAACCGUGGGAAACAAAGAGAAAAGAAGUUGGGGGAAACAACAACAUCCUAUGGCACUUACGCCAACAGUGUAACUGCUUUGUGUAUGAAGCAGUAUCUCCUCUUUCAUAUCUGCCACCCGUAUUUCUCAAACUAGAAGAAACAGCAGAUAAUGUUUACUACUCACAUUCUCUACUCCAUGUGUGAUUUUUUACUUAUUUUUUUUUUAAUCCUAUCCCCAUUCUGUAGUCCUUUUGCAAGCUAAAAACCUCAUGUAAUUCAGUCAUGCUCAGCAGAGACGGCAGUACAUGCCCCUGUCUUCCUUUCUUUUCUGGCCCUGCUGUUUUCCUUUGGAGAUGCAACCAUGCCAAUAUCCAGUGGCAGAGGUACAGGAACCUUGUUUUUUUUUUUCCCUAAAAAUUCCUUCUAAAGUAAACUGGUAGAAGAUUUAGAAAAUCCUUGCACUUCUAUGUUUCUGGAAGUGUUUCCAAAAGCAUGAUGACCUCUACCCAUACCACACACAAACUGAGGAUGCCUAGUACAAGUAUCACGUCCCAAGAAUGUAUAAACAAAAGCAUAGAUGUUAACACAGAAAUGAUCUUCUUCUGGGCUCUGUGUCUUAUUGCAUGUAAUUAUUGUACAGUGUAGUGAGCACUGAAGAGCGCUCAAUGCACAACCACUGUACUGUCAUCUAAGUGAGGUAAGUCUUCUUUAGUAGCUCCAAAUUGUCAGGGUUCAAACAACACAAGCUCAGUUAAGGUAAGUGUCUGGUUAAAAAAAGAAGUGGUAAUUGAAGACAUCUCCAAGUUGUAAGGAAAACACAGAAAAUUCAGAAAUAAACAAAAAGGGGAAGAGUAUGGAAAAAGAAAAUGAUGUCCAGAUGGAGGACGGGGGAAUGCCAAAAGUCUUGAAGACUUUUUAUUUUAAUCCCAAUUCUGUAAAUAUUGGAUGUUGUUUAUAACAGAAAAUUGCUGGUAUUGUUUUUAUGUUACUGCUUGAUUUCUAGAGCGAUGAAACAAGCUGUGGAAGUCACAGCAGGGUUCCCUUUUAAACAUUAAAUCAAUGCGCUACAUCUGCUGAAAUCCUGGAGAGCCCAAGGCAGCAAUGCCAAAUUCCAGAGUCUGCAGUCAGCAGGAGCUGUGUGGUAAAUGUCUGUAUUUAGAUUCAGAGUUUGGCUUAUUAGCUGUCAUCCUCUGAAAACUCUUUGGAGGUUCUUCAGUCCAAGUUCUGGAACUGAGAGUUCUCCCUGCCGCCUCCAGCAGUACUUUUGAUGCAGCGGAGGCUGUGAAAAGCCUUGGAUGUACCGGGGAGGGGAACUCAACUGAGCCGCUUUGUUACUUCAGGACUUGACGAAGGCACCAUGCCAAGAUUGGUUGGUUGAGUUUUGGUUUUGGUUUUCUUCUCCUGGACAAAAGGUCUCCACCUUUUUUUUUUUUUUUUCUGUGCUGAAAGACAGGGAGUUCUCUGAGCUGACCAAAAUGUACUGCAGAGGAGUUAAGAAGACAGGAAAAUUUCCCAACACCCACAUACAGAUACUCCUAAUGUCAAAAAAUAAAAUAAAAUAAAAUAAAAUAAAAAAGGAAAAAAAAUAAAAAAGGAAGAAAAAAAAAAAAGCUAAGAGUUUAUUUUACUGAACUCUCCAAAUGCCUGAGGUCUCUCUGUCCUCCCACAGUUUAUGCACAGGGGAAUCAAUCAGAAAGCCUACCGAGAUACCAUCAAAGCUCUGUGCAACACUGUGCUCAGUGCUGCACAAUUCUGGGGCUGCUCCCACUGCUGCCCACUCAGAUCCUUCCAGCAACACAUCUUUCCAUCUCAAUUUGAUGGGUAUGCUUAGGUACAGAUAACUCCUUACAUUUGAUUCUCACGGUCAGGUACCUUGGCCCCUCUGUAUAUUGACUGGGCAGCACACAAAGAAAAGGGUUAAAAGGGUUUCUAGCCCUGAAAUGCUGCAGGUUUCCAGUGGGUGCCAUCCUCUGACAUGCUGCAGCCUGCCUGUUUACAUCACUGUCUUUAUUUCCUAAAUGGAACCAAUUCCUGCUUGUCAGGUGGGGGCGUUGAAAGAAUUUAUUAGAUAGUCACUACUCUAUUCCUGGAAUUAAAAGUAAAGAACAUGUCAGAAGGAGUUCUUGCUUCAUGUGUGUGAUGCACAGCUAUUUU